rnacentral:rRNA from 1 species
UACGAAGGGGCUAGCGUUGCUCGGAAUCACUGGGCGUAAAGCGCACGUAGGCGGAUUGCUAAGUCAGGGGUGAAAUCCUGGAGCUCAACUCCAGAACUGCCUUCGAUACUGGCGAUCUUGGAGUCCGGGAGAGGUGAGUGGAACUCCGAGUGUAGAGGUGAAAUUCGUAGAUAUUCGGAAGAACACCAAUGGCGAAGGCAGCUCGCCGGGACGGUACUGACGCUGAGGCGCGAAAGCGUGGGGAGCAAACAGG